AGUCACUUUGUCUUUAUGACAAAUGUGAGAUGCAGUGUAUGGAAUGUCAAAUUUCUAGUAUGAGAAAUUAAUGAUUUAAGUCCUUCUUAAAUGAGGCCAUUUACCCAAAGAGGGUGCCAGGCCCGUAUAACGUUAAUGAUUACUAGAUGGCAUUUCCAAAGAGUCGUGUUGCUUGAUAGUGCAGCACUAAGUGGGUGGUAAACUCCAUCUAAAACUAAAUAUAACCAUGAGACCGAUAGUAAACAAGUACCGUGAGGGAAAGUUGAAAAGAACUCUGAAUAGAGAGUUAAAUAGUACGUGAAACUGCUUAGAGGUUAAGCCCGAUGAACCUGAAUAUCCGCUGUGGAAAAUUCAUCAUUAUGAUUUUAAUAUUUGUAAUAUUAUAAUAAUGGUGUGCAUUUUUUCUAUAAAGGACAUUGUAAUCUAUUAAUAUAAAAAUUAUAUUUAUCAUAAGAUCAAUUUGCGUAAGUUUAUUCAAAUUAUUUUGCUUGCAAUUUAAUAUCGAAUAAAUGCUUUUGAUUUGAUAAAGUGUUGAUAGAUUCAUUUGUAUAUAGUGCUUAAAUAUAUUUAUAUAUUUUAUAAUAGCAUAUAAAUCAUUGAUUUUUAUGUUUAUUAUAUGCGCUUAUAUGAUUAACAAUGCGAAAGAUUCAGGAUACCUUCGGGACCCGUCUUGAAACACGGACCAAGGAGUCUAACAUAUUUGCAAGUUAUUGGGUAUAAAAACCUAAUAGCGAAAUUAACAUAACUAUAUUAUAAUGGGAUUAGUUUUUAGAUUAUUUUUUAAUAGUCUAUUAAUUCAAUCCCGGGGCGUUCUAUACAGUUAUGUAUAAUAAUAUUUAUAUUAUUUAUGCCUCUAACUAGAGCGUACCUUGAGCAUAUAUGCUGUGACCCGAAAGAUGGUGAACUAUACUUGAUCAGGUUGAAGUCAGGGGAAACCCUGAUGGAAGACCGAAACAGUUCUGACGUGCAAAUCGAUUGUCAGAAUUGAGUAUAGGGGCGAAAGACCAAUCGAACCAUCUAGUAGCUGGUUCCUUCCGAAGUUUCCCUCAGGAUAGCUGGUGCAUUUAAAAAUUAAGUAAAAUAAUCUUAUCUGGUAAAGCGAAUGAUUAGAGGCCUUAGGGUCGAAACGAUCUUAACCUAUUCUCAAACUUUAAAUGGGUAAGAACCUCACCUUUCUUGGUAUGAAGGUUGUGGUUGUGAUAUAAUGUGCCCAGUGGGCCACUUUUGGUAAGCAGAACUGGCGCUGUGGGAUGAACCAAACGUAAUGUUACGGUGCCCAAAUUAACAACUCAUGCAGAUACCAUGAAAGGCGUUGGUUGCU
rnacentral:rRNA from 1 species